UUUGAUUAAGUUAGAAAUGGGAGGUGAUCCCAUUAGCUUAAUCCUGGGGCAAUUGGGCCCCUGAAGAACUCAAAUUGGGUCGAAUGGUUCAACCCAUUCGGACCCAGGUUGUUGUGGGAGGUGCAACCGCCCAGGCAGGGAGGUAGCACCGCCCAGGCUAUGUCUCCCAGCGAGACUAGGCGGUGCAACCGCCCCACCCAAGAGGUGCAACCGCCCAGGGCUCAGUCUCCGAGCGAGACUGGGCGGUGCAACCUCCUCUGUCAGGAGGUAGCACCGCCAGAGCUCAAGUCUCGAGCUCUGCCAAGCGGUGCAACCUCUCCAGUCAGGCGGUGCAACCGCCUGAGCUCGGUCUUCGAGCUCUGGCAGAGAGGUGCAACCACCCCUGACAGAGGUAGCACCGCCCAGAGGCUCAGUCUUCGAACUCUGCCAGGCGGUGCAACCUCUCCAGUCAGGAGGUGCAACCGCCUGAUCCCGGAAUUCCGGGAUUUGAUCGUUUUGAGCUCCAAAUUUGAACUGGGUUGGGGCCUAUAAAUACCCCACCCAUUCAGCACUGAAAAGAUACAGACCUACAUCGAAUUCUUGAUCUUUUCUAUGAUUCUAAGAGCUCAAAUUUGUGUAAAGUCCAAAAGUUCUCCUCUUUCUGUUCUUCAAAUCUUGAGUUGUAAAGAGAGGAGAGAAAGGUUAUGUAAGGGUUGUCUCCUGAGCCCGUCAAAAGGAGUGAAACUGUAAAAGGGCAGUUGGCCUUCGCCUAUUGAAGGAAGGCCUCUAGUUGACGUCGGUGACCUCGUCGGUGGAGGAAGCCAAAAGUGGAGUAGGUCAAGACUGACCGAACCACUCUAAAUCUCUGGUUUGCUUUUAUUUUGAGCACUUUAUCAUUACUGCAAACCUCCUAUAUAGCUACUGCUCUCUGCG
rnacentral:lncRNA from 1 species